AAAAUCAAAAAUAAAAAAUCAAAUCAUCAUCUUACUACCAAAGACACUUGAAAUACCCAAAAACCUCUCCUUAAUCUCUCCGAACAAACCAAAUUAUAAUAAAUUUCUCUCUAUCUGCAGAUUCUCCUUUUCCGUUCUCUUAUGAGACGGAGAUGAUUUGUUUUCAGCCAAGCAGCACAAAAUCGGUAUGGAUUUUUCUUCCGUCUCCGCCUCCCCUCUCUGCCGCUCACCGCCCCACACUCGCAGUCGUAGAUGGCGUCAGAGUCGGACUUGUACCGCUGUUGUUGUGGUGGCUGCACUUGUGAUUACCACUACAGCCUGGCUGUCUCUUGUUUUCUCCGGCACUACUGCUCGGUGGUGUUGGCAUAGGCUUAAGAACUGGGAAGGCAGUUUGCAUACGCUCCCGUGGAAACCACAAAGUCAGAAUCCAAAUGGGGUUGAGGAAGAAGAUAAAGAUUUUUCUCUUGAAGGAAUUGCUCCGUCUCUUCCAUUAGGAAGAAACAGGAGUCUAUCGGAGGAGGAGAGACGAAGAGAUGGAGCAGGGCUAGCGUUAAAUCAUAUAGUUUUCGGCAUUGCAGGGUCUUCUCAGCUGUGGAAGAGAAGGAAAGAGUUUAUAAGGCUAUGGUGGAGAAAGGAUUCUUCAAUGCGGGGUCAUGUUUGGGUGGAAGAGCAAGUGGAUGAUAAAGAAUGGGAUGAGUCAUUGCCAAGGAUUAUGAUUUCGGAGGAUACCUCUCGGUUUCGGUACACGAAUCCGACCGGACAUCCUUCUGGGCUUCGGAUUGCGCGCAUUGUGUUGGAAACUUUUCGACUAGGUUUGUCUGAUGUUCGAUGGUUUGUUUUGGGAGAUGAUGAUACUAUUUUUAGUGUAGAUAAUUUGGUUGAUGUAUUGAGUAAGUAUGAUUGUAAUGAGAUGGUUUAUAUCGGCGGUCCUUCAGAGAGUCACUCUGCUAAUACUUAUUUUAGUCAUAAUAUGGCUUAUGGAGGUGGCGGGAUUGCUAUAAGUUAUCCUCUUGCCAAGGCGCUUUAUAGUGUUCUUGAUGAUUGUCUUGAGAGAUAUCAUAGGUUAUAUGGAAGUGAUGAUAGACUCCUCGCUUGUAUUUCCGAGCUUGGCGUUCCUUUAUCAAGAGAACAUGGGUUUCACCAGUGGGAUAUCAGGGGUAGCGCUCAUGGUCUUUUAUCUGCGCACCCGAUUUCACCCUUUGUGUCAAUUCAUCAUGUAGAGGCCGUGGAGCCUAUUUACCCUGGGAUGAGCUCUUUGGACAGUUUGAAAUUGUUCGCUAAGGCCAUGAAGGUUGAUCCUAUGAGCUUCUUGCAGCGAUCAAUCUGUUAUGACCAUGCACGCCGCCUAACUUUUUCUGUGUCGCUUGGUUAUGCUAUUCAAGUGUUCCCAAGCAUCGUGCAACCCCGGGUCCUUGAGCGCUCAGAAAUGACUUUCUCUGCUUGGAACAAGAUUCGUAAUCUGAACGAGUUUGAUUUGGAUACUAGGGAUCCCUCCAAAUCUGUUUGUAAGAGUCCAGUCCUCUUCUUCUUAGAAGAUGUGGAAAGACAAGGCAACACUACUCUGGGUACAUAUGUGCGGGCGGGGAGAUUGAAUGAUGAUUUGAAAAGAAAAGUUCUCUGCUUUCCUCGUUCGGCUCCUCUUCCUUAUGUGGGGCGUAUCCAGGCUUUGGGGUAUCCUCUAAAGAACUGGCAUUUGUCACCACGUCGCCUGUGUUGCAAACUGACUCAAACAAGUGAUGGACUCCUUACAAUAUCAGUUAGACAGUGUGGGAAGGGAUCUUUUGGUUCUUUUGCUGAUUCCGUAUGAAAAUGCAUGGUAGCACUUCGUCCACUCGAUAUCAUUAUUGGGGAGAUUACUUCAUGCUUGAAGAAGGCCCUUUCCCUGCCUGUGCUUUAUAUUGUACAGCAUCAUUGUUUGGCUUCCUUCUUGCAACAGUGGUUUGCCGAAUGGCAUCUGGCAUUUUGAAAACCAUGCUAGCUAAUUGCAGAUAUGAGAGUUUCUUUUUUAUGCAGUCGAGUUUAAGAUGAGAUCACAGACCUUCACUUCAUGGACUACAUUCUGUGCCUUCCUUCUUCUUUGGAAGUUUUUCUCUCCUAUGGUGGACCUACAAUGACUUGGAGUUCAUUGCCUUCGGUCAGCUAUUGUUAUGCUAAGAGCUAAAUCAUCCAAUUAAUUCAUUGUGUUUGUUGCCUUAUUGGUCCAAUUACGACCUUAUGGAGUUCAUUAUUCUAAUGCUCUCACACUCUCCAAUUUUGUGUCAUGUUUUCUCCUUGGAAACCUUGGAAGGCUAGGGAUGCAGGGUUUUUGUGAGUGAGAUGAAAGAACAUUUCGAUUGCAUAACUAGCAAAUCAGGUGGGAUUUGUGGCCGAGAACCUCUCUCAGGAACUGGGAGGUUAGCUGCAUUUGAAGUUGCAAGUUGAGUGUGAACUAGUGCAUGCACUGUACAUCCAUUUCAUUAGUGACUAAAGCCAGGGGUUUAAAGUGGCUUUUGAAGGGCCAGAAACACUUCGAUAGCACAGCAAAGCAUUAAGUGCCAUAAGUGCAACUUGUUCAUUCCGAUGGGUGCAAGUCCUUUUAGUUCUAGUGGGAGCUGUCGCCUUGAUAAAGUGGACAAUUAACGAUG